GGGCGGAUGGCGAAAUUGGCAGACGCGCUAGCCUUAGGAGCUAGUGGGGUAACCCAUGGGGGUUCGAGUCCCCCUCUGCCCA
rnacentral:tRNA from 1 species